CUGCUUUUCUUCUACAGGGGUUCACAAAGGCAGACAAGUUUAUUGCCAGUCAAGGACCAAACAAAGGCUCACUGGCGGACAUGUGGAGAAUGGUGUGGCAGUAUGACGUGGAUAAGAUUAUAAUGCUUACCAACCCAGUAGAGAAUGGAAAGAUCAAGUGUCAGCAGUAUUGGCCGGAUACUGGGUCAAAAAUCUACUCCAACAUCACAGUAUCAGUUGCAAAAGAAAAGACAUUCGUGGACUACACAAUUCGAGUUUUCCACAUCCACCAGGUUGUCAGUGAGGAAGG